GACCGCUUGGCGCAAUGGUAGCGCGUUCGACUCCAGAUCGAGAGGUUGGGCGUUCGAUCCGCUCAGUGGUCA
rfam:Angiostrongylus costaricensis strain Costa Rica genome assembly, scaffold: ACOC_contig0002997